rnacentral:misc_RNA from 1 species
GAUGAAGAACGCAGCGAAAUGCGAUAAGUAAUGUGAAUUGCAGAAUUCAGUGAAUCAUCGAAUCUUUGAACGCACAUUGCGCCCCUUGGUAUUCCGAGGGGCAUGCCUGUUCGAGCGUCAUUUCAACCCUCAAGCUCUGCUUGGUAUUGGGCUACGCCAUCGCGGCAGGCCUUAAAAUUAGUGGCGGUGCCGUCUCGGCUCUAAGCGUAGUAACAAUCUCUCGCUCUGGAGACCUGGCGGUGCUUGCCAGACAACCACCAAUUUUUUUUAUGGUUGACCUCGGAUCAGGUAGGGAUACCCGCUGAACUUAAGCAUAUCAAUAAGCGGAGGA